CCUACGGGAGGCAGCAGUGGGGAAUAUUGGACAAUGGGCGGAAGCCUGAUCCAGCAACGCCGCGUGAGGGAUGACUGCCUUCGGGUUGUAAACCUCUUUCAGCACAGACGAAGCGAAAGUGACGGUAUGUGCAGAAGAAGCACCGGCCAACUACGUGCCAGCAGCCGCGGUAAUACGUAGGGUGCGAGCGUUGUCCGGAAUUAUUGGGCGUAAAGGGCUCGUAGGCGGUUUGUCGCGUCGGGAGUGAAAACACACAGCUUAACUGUGUGCUUGCUUCCGAUACGGGCAGACUAGAGGUAUGCAGGGGAGAACGGAAUUCCUGGUGUAGCGGUGAAAUGCGCAGAUAUCAGGAGGAACACCGGUGGCGAAGGCGGUUCUCUGGGCAUUACCUGACGCUGAGGAGCGAAAGUGUGGGGAGCGAACAGGAUUAGAUACCCUGGUAGUCCACACCGUAAACGUUGGGCGCUAGGUGUGGGGCCUAUUCCAUGGGUUCCGUGCCGCNGCUACGCAUAGCGCCCGCCGUCGGGAGGUACGGCCGCGACGACGUAACUACGAAGAAGUAGACGGCGUGAGACGUCGCCGACGGACGACGACGAGGGAGAGG
rnacentral:rRNA from 1 species